ACCGCCUGCCCUGUGGAACCCUAAACGGCCGCGGCAUUAAAACCGUGCAAAGGUAGCACAAUCACUUGUCCCUUAAAUGAGGACGCGUAUGAAAGGCAACAUGAGAGAAAACCUGUCUCCUAAGGCCCGCCAAUGAAAUUGAACUGCCAGUUCAAAAGCUGACAUUAACAAGCAAGACAAAAAGACCCUGUGGAACUUUAAUUAACUGCUUACAUAAACUUUAACCAGUAAUUUUAGUUGGGACAACUUUAGAAAAAAUAAACUUCCUAAUUUAUUAAGACCAACUAGUCAAAAACUUCUGCAUGACCCAGCAACACUGAUUAACGAAACAAGCUACCCCAGGGAUAACAGCGCUACCUUCUUAAAGAGUUCAUAUUAACAAGAAGAUCUACGACCUCGAUGUUGGAUCAGGAUACCCAGACGGUGCAACAGCUGUCAAUGGUUCGUUUGUUCAACGACUAACACCCU
rnacentral:rRNA from 1 species